AAAAGCAACAAAUUAAAUCAAUAUGCUUUACAAAACUUCAUCUUUAAGCUGCUUCUGUACAAAUUAAGUCAAAAACAGCAAUAUGAGUUUUCAGAAUAUUGCUUCUUUCGUUACAGAUGACUAAUGAUAAAAGGGGUUUACAUUUUCAUGUUGUCUUUGCUUACAAAGGAAGCAAUAAGUUGCUUUGAAGAGACUGAAUGGCUCAUGUCCCAUGAGACUCAUCACUCAUCAUGCUGUGCUCUAUCAACUUCUGCUAAACUUCCAGAUAGUUACAUAUUCUGCUAAAAUCGUACAUUUAUAGCUUCCAUGUGGCAGUUGUAACAAAAUGUUUUCUCAUAGCUGGAAUAGGGCUCUUUACCAUAACACAGUGUCAUGGGUUAUCAAUGGGAGCCAAAUAGAAGGCUAAAUCUUUGCCAUUCUCAUUCUCCUAACUACCAUCAUAAAUGGACAAGUGAGAAACACAGCUAAGCCAAGGCUUUGUUUUCUUCUUUGCUACUUGUUUCCUCUAUAUAUACCGGUCAUUUCAUGGUGUGAUUUAGAUUGUAUUUCGAUGGUCUCAUAUCAGAAAGAAGCAAUGGAAUUUGAAGGUGCAUCACCAAAACAAAAGAUGUUAUGCUGUGAUCAUGUCCGAAAACGCAAGGAGGAGAAGGGCUUUUUCUCUGCUUGGUUUGUUCCUCAGUUCUCACUAAUCUGAAUUUCAUACGUUUCUCAUUUCUUGAUCUUACUACCCUAUGCUUAAUAUUGGAUUACAUUGGUAUUGCAGUUUGUUUGCUAUGUUCUGCUGCUGUUGCUGCUAUGGUGGCUGCUGCUGUGGUCCUUAGAUUAUUGCCAUUGUGUGGGAUCAGUACAAAUAAAUCACAGAUGAUUGUAAUGAAGUGGUUGUAAACAAAUUCAUUUAGUUAAUAGAAAUUAU
rnacentral:lncRNA from 1 species